AGCUUCUGCAAGGAUCAUGGAGAUGUCAGACACCUGUAUUUUGGAGCAAUGCUUCAACUCAUCCUACUGAGCACCCUGUGAUCCACUUCGUUGGCCUUCUUCCAUUCCCUUGUGAGUCAAGGCAAAAUCCACAUUCAAUCGGUCUGCAAUGGAGUCACUCUUGGCUCCACCAGCAUCAGGUCUCCUGGUUGCUGAAUUUCUUAGUCACCACCUUGCCUAGCUCCAGGCUUAGGCGGUCAGCAGUUUUCUGGGAUAAGUCCUGUUGGGAUAUCCUGCUGAAGAUUUUGAUGUUAGGCAUCUUGGGCAACUACACAAAUGCGCCCUUCGCUCAGUGGUCAUCGCUGGUGCAGAGAUUGGAUCCGAAGUAAGCUGGUAGCCUAUACACCUACAGCACCGCUGCUGCUCAGCCAUCUUACAUUCUUGGAGCACACAGCUCUAAAUCACACACUGAGCACCAAGCGAGGAGGCGGGAUCACAGAUCACAAAG
rnacentral:lncRNA from 1 species